rnacentral:rRNA from 1 species
CGGCCUGAGAGGGUGACCGGCCACACUGGGACUGAGACACGGUCCCAGACUCCUACGGGAGGCAGCAGUGGGGAAUAUUGCACAAUGGGCGAAAGCCUGAUGCAGCAACGCCGCGUGAGGGAUGACGGCCUUCGGGUUGUAAACCUCUUUUAGCAGGGAAGAAGCGAAAGUGACGGUACCUGCAGAAAAAGCGCCGGCUAACUACGUGCCAGCAGCCGCGGUAAUACGUAGGGCGCAAGCGUUAUCCGGAAUUAUUGGGCGUAAAGAGCUCGUAGGCGGUUUGUCGCGUCUGCUGUGAAAUCCCGAGGCUCAACCUCGGGUCUGCAGUGGGUACGGGCAGACUAGAGUGCGGUAGGGGAGAUUGGAAUUCCUGGUGUAGCGGUGGAAUGCGCAGAUAUCAGGAGGAACACCGAUGGCGAAGGCAGAUCUCUGGGCCGUUACUGACGCUGAGGAGCGAAAGGGUGGGGAGCAAACAGGCUUAGAUACCCUGGUAGUCCACCCCGUAAACGUUGGGAACUAGUUGUGGGGUCCAUUCCACGGAUUCCGUGACGCAGCUAACGCAUUAAGUUCCCCGCCUGGGGGAGUACGG